rnacentral:tRNA from 1 species
GUCCGCUUAGAAUUGCGGCCCAUCAUGGUGGGUUCUGGUCCCGCCGACCUCGGUUCAAAUCCGAGAGAGACUA